UGGGGAAUAUUGCACAAUGGGGGAAACCCUGAUGCAGCGACGCCGCGUGAGUGAAGACGGUCUUCGGAUUGUAAAGCUCUGUCUUCGGGGACGAAUAAUGACGGUACCCGAGAAGGAAGCCACGGCUAACUACGUGCCAGCAGCCGCGGUAAUACGUAGGUGGCGAGCGUUGUCCGGAAUUACUGGGUGUAAAGGGAGCGCAGGCGGGGGUUCAAGUUGGAUGUGAAAUGCCGCAGCUCAACUGCGGAGCUGCAUCCAAAACUGGAUCUCUUGAGUGAAGUAGAGGUAGGCGGAAUUCCUAGUGUAGCGGUGAAAUGCGUAGAUAUUAGGAGGAACACCAGUGGCGAAGGCGGCCUACUGGGCUUUAACUGACGCUGAGGCUCGAAAGCGUGGGGAGCAAACA
rnacentral:rRNA from 1 species